GACGAGCCACCCAAACGUUAUUCGGAAUUACUGGGCUUAAAGGGUGCGUAGGCGGUGCAGCAAGUCGGGGAGUGAAAUACCUCAGCUUAACUGAGGAACUGCUUUCGAUACUGCUGUGCUUGAGUAAGACAGAGGUAAGCGGAACUUAGGGUGGAGCGGUGAAAUGCGUUGAUAUCCUAAGGAACACCGGUGGCGAAGGCGGCUUAC
rnacentral:rRNA from 1 species